AGUAUAAAAUUGUAUAUUCAUUUAAAAUAAAACAACAAUAGUCGUCAAAUACGCACACCGCGUAGCUGCACUCUACUAAAUAUUUUAUAAAACAAAUAUCUAACAAAAUAUUAUCUGUAAAAUAAGUAAUAUUAUACGUCUGAGGAUUCACUUACAAACUAAAUACAAUAACAACUUGUAUAUUAGGGGAGAUAUCUCACUUAUUCAUUAAUUAAAUUAUUUAACAAUAAUUAUAUUUAAGCCCGUCCCUGGUUAUCCCAAAACAAUAAAUUAUGAGCAAGUCAGGGCCAUAACCGCGAAAAUCGAAGUUCGCAAAUUGCGGGCAUCUUUGUCAAUCUAAUCACGCCUUCAUUGGAGUAAAAGAGAUAGAUCCCGGCAAUUUGCGAAUUUCUGUUUUCGUGGUAGGCCCUCAGGCUUGCGUACCCUGCAGUUGAAGUAUAGACGAUAGAAUAAUAUAAGAGGCAUAAAGUAGUGCAUUAUAUCUGUUGACAGCUAAAAAAGAUGGCGCUGUCCCGCCUGGCUCCUGUUUCACCACGCUGACAAUUGCCACCUGACAUUGACAAUUCACCGUACAUUGCUGGUUUAACAAGUAAACACUGAUGACAAUAUUAUACACCGUCGUUACUUUUACCGAUCCAGAAAUGUGGAGGAAAUUGUCAGUGUCAGCAGCACCAUCUUUACCAUAAGGGCAAAGGGAGCCCGUGCCCAGGGGACAGACAGUAACAGUAUAUUUGAUUACCCAUAAUAAAUAGAAGAUCAUAGUAGGAAAAUGUUAGUUUAAUUAAUAGCUUUCUUUACUUUCCAAAAGGGCCCCAAAUUCUUAUGUGCCCAGGGGCCCCUGUAUAGUGUGAAACGGCAAUGAGUGUCAGGUGUCAAUUGUCAAGUUAGUGAAAUAAGCGCCUGGCAUCAUAAUAUAACGCAUACGUAUUUAUAGAAAAUGCCCAUUGAAGAAACACAUGCAAUAACAUUUGGCCAUUCUGUAACCAGUAAAGGUUACGUCACACAGGCGCGUUUUCCGGGCGGCGCGUGAGCGUUUUAUAUGUAAAAGCGGCGCGCCCCGCUCUCGUCCCGCGCGGAAAACGCGUCUGUGUGACGGAACCUUAAACGUAGGCGUACAAUUUGUUAUACUACUUUGUGCGUCUUAUUAUUCUAGUCUAUGUUACCGGCUUGGUGCAUGUUGUCAUCAUGAUACAAUUUUACUUCACAACUUGUAUAGGGGGCAUAGCCAAUAUGACCAUCGUUUGCGCUACGACAAUGUAAUGCUUUUCUGUCUCUCUACCACUCUUCCCUAUUAGGCUAUUAGUGCGAUAGAGACAUAACGUUUCGUUUCUCUGCGAACGAUGGUCAUCUUGGCUACACCCCUGAGAUGAUGUCUAAAGCACCAAGCUAAAAUAAAAACAUAAAUAACAGAGCUUUAAAUAGUAUAGCCAGCCAUAAAGAUUUAACUUUAGUAUUUUGUAUAAAGUGGAAAUACAAAGUUGUUGUUUUAUGCUUACUAUACCUACUCUUUUACAGCCACCAACAGUCAUAAUUACACAAAAUAACAUCUUAGGUAUAUCUAUCGAUCAGUAGGUAUAUAUGAGUGAAUUGCAAAAAAAAUGUACGUAAUUAAUUACGCGCAAUUAAGAAGCUGUGAUUAGUCUAAACUUAAUUAAUUCAUUUGUGUUACGAAAAUUAACUAUGUAAAUUGUAUUAUAUUGUACUUAAUUCAUACACAUAUAAGCGUAUCAGUGGCGGCGUGUCCAUAAAAGCCGAUUCCCACCGGCUUGCCUGUUUUUGGACGUUUGAGCAGAGUUGUAAAGGAAAUAUGUAAGCCAAAUUAGCCCCGGCUUGCCUAUGGAUAUGUUUGACGCGCCGCUACUGAAGUGUAUAGCAUACGCUAACACACUUUCAUGCAUCUAACUUAAAUAGAAAUGUCUUAACUGUCGUAACACAAUGGAAUCAAUUAACUUUAGACUAAUUACAGGUGCUUAACUAUGUAAGUUUUUCUUUGCGAUUCACUCUUAUAUUUUACAUGCAAAGCUCGGGGAGGUUGUGUGGGCGAAUAGUGCUGCCAAGUAAUUCCUCGAAGCUCGUGCUCAUGUCUCAUGUAGUGUCUUUAUGUAGAUAUGUCUGUUGGUCGCUGUCAGCAAUUGAGCUAUUAGAAUGUAUGUGUCAGUAACCUAAAGUAAUCCUAAUGAGUAUGGCACAACGCUGUAACAACUAUACAAAAUAUACACAGAAUAAAACAAAUAUUUGAAACAAGACACAUUUGGUAUGUCUCUACUGAUACAUCCCAAUCCAAGCUAUUAUAUACCUUGGACUACUAGAAUCUGACAAAUGGUUCAAGAAUGUUAAAUUCACAAAAUGCACGAUUAAAAAGCUUGUGACAAGAGUUUUAUUACUUGGGCCAAGAUUAAGCAUAUCGAAUCAAAACUAACCUUUUUUAUUUGAUAAUUUGUUAUUUGAUACAAGAAACUACUUCUUGGCUCAAGAUAAUAUAAGACAUAUUUCUUGGACGAAGACAUUUUUCGAGUUUCCUUAAUAUCAUAGCAUGUCUUGGUUCAAAAAUUUGUUUUAUCUGUGUAUGAGCACACUCUCACACUAUAUCUAAAAGUCAAGUUCCACCGCGGGCCUGUACCCUAUGGAAACGUAUGAAACGUGUCACACACACACGCACACUCGACCCGCGAGCGAUCACACAAUAUCACAAUCAUCUUGUUACUAAAACUAAAGUAUUCCGGAGUACAAUUACAAGCUAUUGAUAGAAACGAGUAUGAAAUGCUUCAAGCACAGACUUAAAUAUUUAAGUCUGUGGCUUCAACCCCGCAUUGCUACAGGAAUGCUGCCUCACCAUAACAACCGUAGCAUUUGAAAACUCAUUCAAUCGUUUUCUGUAUUUUAGCGCAACUAGUUCCAAGUUCAAAUCACGGUCCUAACAUAGUACAUUUAUUUUCUAGAUUUUUCUGUAAAGACACCGAGGCCCAAGUUUCAGUCUCGCAUCGCGCUUGGCUCCUAUCCAAGAUGGCGGCCGGCGCAUCGGGAUAACUGCCGAACGCCGCUCCGAACCAAAACAAAACCGAGAUCACAACUCUAUCUCACU